UAGAGUUUGCUCUCUCCUUAUAGAGCCACCUAGGAUGCCACAUCAGAAAUUCUAGCUCUGUGAAAUCGACAUCUGUCAUCUCUCACCAAAACUCACCGUAUCACCUGUUAUUCACAGUUUUGCAUUUGUCGCAAGCGUCUCUUCUAAUUCUUCUUCUGUUUCUCUACUCUUGAUCAUUCAUUCCUCUUCGUUAAAUCUUAUAUGCGUGAGCCAUAAUACUCUUCCAACUUCCUCUCUUUCUCCAAUAAUAUAAACAUGUCUGUCGAAGAUUUUACCGAAUCAAAUUCUACAACAUCCAUUCACCAAAAAUCAAUCGACAGGAGGCUAUGUUAUUGGGGUUUCGGUGUGUUAUUGGGCUUCAUAUUGCCUUACAAGAAAACCAGCCCAGAUUGCGUGAAUCACUAAUGUUCUUGAUCCUCAUCGUUUCCUGAUUUAGGGUUCCACUAUAGUCGUCGAUAUCCACCAUUAGAGACGUGAUGUAGGGUUCCACCACGAUCAUCUAAAUCGGCCAUUAGAGAGACUGAGAUGCAGAAGUCUGUGUGACGAAUCUGUUGGUUGGGUUUCGAUCAGUCCUUUCGCCUUCUUUCCAUCCAUCACAGUAAACGAGAUAGUAAACAUCAGUGUUUGUUUGAUUUUCUUAAUUUCUAGAUUAUUUUUAGAUUACAAGUUUAUAUUAUGGGAUGGAUAAUGUGAGGAAACCUGUUGUGAAUCCUUUUAGCUCGGAUUUACCCGGGGAUGACGACUUACUAAUAUGCCUCAACUAAAGACAAUGUAAGUCAAAACUCUCUCUUGCCACAUCUAUUUGGCUCUAAUGAUUGGAUCAAGAUCUCACACUAAAAUAUGUUUUGUUUCUGAGAUUUAAGCUUAAACAUGUUAAGUGGUCCAAUUCCAGAUACAUUUAUGAAUCUGGAUUAUACCUUUACGUUCUUGAGUAAUAACUACUUAACAAGUGAAGUUCCUCUAUUUGUCCUCAACAGUAGAGCCAUGCUGGUGAUUGUUGCUACAAACAUUAACCAAAAAAUGGUUGGAGGCCGUUUGUUCCUUAAUUCCAUGUCGGGAAUACACAUUUACUUAGACAAUGAAACAAAUGCAGGAGAACCUGUAUUUACAGGUUGGUCGCCAGAGACACUGGUCUUCCAUCGGCCGCACCACUCCUGAGAGGGUAUGCAAAGGUUGAGCCCCUACAAUAGCUGAGCUCAAUAGUUUUGUCAUCACUGCACCGUCUCAGAAUAUUGAGUUCAUAUGCACUGAGAGUUACUCGCGUCGACCUAGAGAAAGGAUGGUGUUACGUCGCUUGCUCUGAAUGCACCAAAAGCUGCAGCGCACUGACUCCUCAUUUGCAUGUGUGCGAUGCGACAAUGCUCAUGCUGUUGGUGCUCUCCGCUACAGAAUAGAGAUGGACAUUGCUGAUGAUACUGCUAAAGGUUUUUUUGUUUGUUUUGAUGAUGUAAUGACAAAAUAACGUAACCUCAAAGCAAGUCAAGCUGGUCAAAUGUUGGCUGAAAAAGGUGUGAACCCUGAGGACUCUCGGAUGCCUCUGUUUAUUACAUACAUGGAAGGAAAGACACACGGCGAGCCAUCAGACAUUCACCAUCACACGCAUUUUUGAUGAACGUGAUCGUGUGCCCCUCCCUGACUUCGUUGACAAUGGAGGGUACGAUAAUGAUGGUGGCGACAUGCCAGGUGAUAAUCCAAUUCCUUAGUGGUGAAGCAGCUUUGAAUGGUGGUACGGAUACAAAUGGUGAUGUGUCAAACAAGGUGGCCAAUCCAGCUUCGCAGGUUGUCAAGAUCUUUGAGCGAAGUACUCUGUAUUUAGAUAAUGCUUAUGCAUUAGCUUUCCUUUCCACGUUUUCGUUUUCUCUACUUUUGACUUUCACCACUUAGUGGUUCUAUGUUUGAGUCAAACAAACUUCUUAUUUCCUAUUAAAAAUAUCUUUAAGCUUCAU